ensembl:lncRNA
CUCUGAAUGUAACCUGGGGGUGUGGGGACACACGGGGAAAGGGUUGGGUCUUGAGUUAUAAUGUCAGGAACACAGUGUUGUAUGGGUUGUUGCAGGACAUUCCCGCCCACCUCCUUCAUUUGCUCUGUGACCCAUUUCCUGAUCAGGCUGUUGCUCACUGCCUCAUCCAGCUACCCUGCCUUCGGCAUCUGAAGGUUCUGUGAUCGGUGAGACAACAGAAAGCCCUGUUUCUCUAAGGUGUCCCCAUCCACGCAGCCACUCUGGGCUAGUUCCUGAGAAGGACUUCCCACGAUCCCCACGUGGUGGAGGUCGCCUCUCUUUCCCACAUGUCCCCGUGCUGCUUGGGAGACAGCAGGACCAUCUCCGGGAGAGGCUGUGACCAGGAGAGAAAGACUAACCUCCCUGCGGACCCUGAGUCUCUGCAAGGUGCCAAGACCCUAUGCUUUUGUGCACAUCAUCCUUUAUAUUCACCCAAACCCAUGACAGAGGCGUGAGCACCAAAUGAGAACGUGAGAGAUUCCAAACUUUCCCAAGAUCUCAUCAUUAAGAGGGCUUUCUUGGUGGCUCAGACAGUAAAAGAAUCUGCCUGCAAUGUGGGAGACCUGGGUUCGAUCCCUGGGUUGGGAAGAUCCCAUGGAGGAGGGCAUGGCAACCCACUUCAGUAUUCCUGCCUGGAGAAUCCCCAAGGACAGAGGAACCUGCUGGGCUACAGUCCACGGGGUCACAAAGAGUCUGACAUGACUGAGCAACUAAGCACAGCACAGAAACAUUAAGAAGUUGCAGAGCCAAGACUCAAAACCAAGUCUAUUUAAUUCGGCAGACCAACCUUAACCUAGGAUGGUCUGUGAUGUCAAUAGAAAUCUAAAUGGAGUCAAAGACAUUAUGCAUUUUCCUUUUUCUACAAGCAUGUGAGCAGUCUUCCUACUAUUUCAGCCACCUGGAUGACACUCCCAGGAAGAGAGCUGGAGGAAGGGCUGACUUCAGGGUCAGAGGAGAGGGACAGUCAUAUAAGAACAAAGUGGGUUUCAUUUUGCCGGAUAUUUGAGGAGAGUCGGACCCGGAGGCAUCUCUGUACUCUUGAAGUAGAGCCGGCAACCAUUUAACCAACAGAAUACAGUGAAUGCGAGAUAACUGCUGUGCCAAUCUGGGGACCAGGCCUUAAGAAACUGGGAAUGUCCCCUUUCUGCCCUUCAGGUACCAGCCAGCUAACUGUAAGAAAGGCCAGGCCUCUGGGGAGAGCCCCGUGGGGACAGGAACCCAGGCCCCGGGCUCUCAGCACCAGCUGAGCUCUGGACCAAGAGCCAACGCCGACUCUCUUCCCCGGGCAAAAGCUAUCUUGUCAGAGGAUCCUCAGCCCCCGAGGAGCUGCAGGUGAUGCCACGUGGAGGCGAGAUGAGCCUUCUCCCACGCCCCAAUUCCCAUCCAAAUGGCAGAUCUGACCUGUCAGCAACUAAGCUUUGGGAUGGUUUGUCAGACAGCAGUAAGGAACUGGAGCGCCUCCACCAGCCUUCUAUGGGGGAGCCAGGGAGGGACGCUGACCUUCCCCAAGCCCCCUCCCCAAGAAGCGGCCCCCCGCUCAGCCUCUCCACGAUAACGUGGAGUCUGUGAGGUGGGGUCGCAAGACGGCUGGCCCAGCCCUGAACACCUUCCACACACUGUCCAACCCUCUUUCCCACUAUGCCCCUCACAUGUCCUCUGAUCAGGGGGACCUGCCCAGGACUGGAGAUCCUCACCCAGUUCCUUUUAACGUAGGAAAAACAAAUGAGGGGACUUCCCUCGUGGUUCAGUGGCUGAGAUUCCAAGCUCCCGAUGCAGAGAGCCCAGGUUCGAUCCCUGGUCCGAGAACUGGAUCCCUCAUGCUGCAAUGAAGAUCAAAGAUACUCCAAGGGGCAACUAAGAUCCAGCACAGCCAGACAAAUAAAUGGGGGUGGUGGUUUAGUCACUCAGUCAUGUCGGACUCUGUGACCCCAUGGAACUGUAGCCCCCUAGGCUCCUCUGUCCAUGGGAUUCUCCAGGCAAGAAUACUGGAGUGGGUUGCCAUUUCCUUCUCCAGGGGAAUCUUCCCAACUCAGGGAUUGAACCCUGGUCUCCUACAUUACAGGCAGAUUCUUUACCGGGCUAUUUGUAAAUAAAUAAAUAAAUGAAGACUGAGAACUCG